AUGGAAAACAACAAAAAUAUGAGAGAGCUUUAUAAGCUCUACCUUGAACUUGGACAUGAUGUGUUCGAAGAGAAAAUUAAAAAACCAUUGGAACUUUAUUAUUUGCAUAACAAUCAUGAUGGUGGUGAUGUUAUUAGUAUGUUUUUAUUUAAUAUCAAUAUUGCUAAUGACAUGGAAAGCUCUAAGCUUGGGGAUGACACGUUUGAUGAACAUGAUAUUUUUAGUCCCCCAACUUUUGAGGAGAAAAUUUACUUUGAUGAUACUAUGCCUUCUAUAUAUGAUGAUUACAAUGAUGAAUAUGAUAUUUUCAGUCCACCUACUAUUGAGGAUAAAAUUUAUUAUGAUUAUGAUAUGCCUCCUAAAUACGAUGAUUACCAUGAUGGUUAUGAUAGUCUUACUCUCACUAUUCCUAAUAAGAAAGAUUUUGCUUAUAUGAAGAGUAAUGACACUUUUAUGCUUUUGGAUCAUGGAAAUAAUGCCUUAUGUGAUGCUUAUAUUGUUGAGUUUAUUCGUGAUCCCACUGAAAAUUAUUAUGAGAAGGGAACCUAUGCUUAUAGAUAUUUCAAUAAUAUUAAGUUCCCUCUCUUUAUGUUGAAGGUUUUGAAGCUGCACUUGUUUUGUCUUCCUAUGCUUAUUGCUUUGUGCUUCAAUGAAUUAUUCUAUUGCAAUAUUCCUAUGCAUAGGAAGCAUGUUAGGCUUAAAUGUGUUUGGUAUUUGCUUCUUGAUGCUCUCUUUUGUUCUUCAACUCUUAUUCCUACGAGAGCAUCAUUAAAGUCUUAA
rnacentral:rRNA from 1 species